CCUACGGGGGGCUGCAGUGGGGAAUAUUGGACAAUGGGCGAAAGCCUGAUCCAGCCAUGCCGCGUGUGUGAAGAAGGCCUUCGGGUUGUAAAGCACUUUCAGUGGGGAAGAAAGCCUUGGGGCUAAUACCCUCGAGGAAGGACAUCACCCACAGAAGAAGCACCGGCUAACUCCGUGCCAGCAGCCGCGGUAAUACGGAGGGGUGCGAGCGUUAAUCGGAAUUACUGGGCGUAAAGCGCGCGUAGGCGGUCUGAUAAGCCGGUUGUGAAAGCCCCGGGCUCAACCUGGGAACGGCAUCCGGAACUGUCAGGCUAGAGUGCAGGAGAGGAAGGUAGAAUUCCCGGUGUAGCGGUGAAAUGCGUAGAGAUCGGGAGGAAUACCAGUGGCGAAGGCGGCCUUCUGGACUGACACUGACGCUGAGGUGCGAAAGCGUGGGUAGCAAACAGGAUUAGAUACCCGGGUAGUC
rnacentral:rRNA from 1 species